GACGAACGCUGGCGGCGUGCUUAACACAUGCAAGUCGAACGGAAAGGCCCUGCUUUGUGGGGUGCUCGAGUGGCGAACGGGUGAGUAACACGUGAGUAACCUGCCCUUGACUUUGGGAUAACUUCAGGAAACUGGGGCUAAUACCGGAUAGGAGCUCCUGCUGCAUGGUGGGGGUUGGAAAGUUUCGGCGGUUGGGGAUGGACUCGCGGCUUAUCAGCUUGUUGGUGGGGUAGUGGCUUACCAAGGCUUUGACGGGUAGCCGGCCUGAGAGGGUGACCGGCCACAUUGGGACUGAGAUACGGCCCAGACUCCUACGGAAGGCAGCAGUGGGGAAUAUUGCACAAUGGGCGGAAGCCUGAUGCAGCAACGCCGCGUGCGGGAUGACGGCCUUCGGGUUGUAAACCGCUUUCGCCUGUGACGAAGCGUGAGUGACGGUAAUGGGUAAAGAAGCACCGGCUAACUACGUG
rnacentral:rRNA from 1 species